rnacentral:rRNA from 1 species
CCUACGGGAGGCAGCAGUGGGGAAUAUUGCACAAUGGGGGAAACCCUGAUGCAGCGACGCCGCGUGAGUGAAGAAGUAAUUCGUUAUGUAAAGCUCUAUCAGCAGGGAAGAAAAUGACGGUACCUGAGUAAUAAGCCCCGGCUAACUACGUGCCAGAAGCCGCGGUAAUACGUAGGGGGCAAGCGUUAGCCGGAUUUACUGGGUGGAAAGGGAGCGGAGACGGCAGUGCAAGUCUGGAGUGAAAGGCGGGGGCUCAACCCCCGGACUGCUCUGGAAACUGGACGGCUGGAGUGCAGGAGAGGUAAGUGGAAUUCCUAGUGUAGCGGUGAAAUGCGUAGAUAUUAGGAGGAACACCAGUGGCGAAGGCGGCUUACUGGACUGUAACUGACGUUGGGGCUCGAAAGCGUGGGGAGCAAACAGGAUUAGAUACCCGGGUAGUC